rnacentral:rRNA from 1 species
UCAGGACGAACGCUGGCGGCGUGCUUAACACAUGCAAGUCGAACGAUGAAGCUGGAGCUUGCUCCGGUGGAUUAGUGGCGAACGGGUGAGUAACACGUGAGCAAUCUGCCCUUGACUCUGGGAUAACUGCGGGAAACUGUAGCUAAUACCGGAUACGACACCUUGGGGCAUCCCAGGGUGUGGAAAGAAUUUCGGUCAAGGAUGAGCUCGCGGCCUAUCAGCUAGUUGGUGAGGUAAUGGCUCACCAAGGCGACGACGGGUAGCCGGCCUGAGAGGGUGACCGGCCACACUGGUACUGAGACACGGACCAGACUCCUACGGGAGGCAGCAGUAGGGAAUAUUGGGCAAUGGAGGCAACUCUGACCCAGCCAUGCCGCGUGUAGGAAGAAUGCCCUCUGGGUUGUAAACUACUUUUAUACGGGAAGAAAAAUACUACGUGUAGUAUACUGACGGUACCGUAAGAAUAAGGAUCGGCUAACUCCGUG